AGAUUUCCGUGGAGAGGAACAAUUCUG
rnacentral:piRNA from 5 species